rnacentral:rRNA from 1 species
UGCAGUCGAGCGGUAGAGAGGUGCUUGCACCUCUUGAGAGCGGCGGACGGGUGAGUAAUGCCUAGGAAUCUGCCUGGUAGUGGGGGAUAACGUUCGGAAACGGACGCUAAUACCGCAUACGUCCUACGGGAGAAAGCAGGGGACCUUCGGGCCUUGCGCUAUCAGAUGAGCCUAGGUCGGAUUAGCUAGUUGGUGGGGUAAUGGCUCACCAAGGCGACGAUCCGUAACUGGUCUGAGAGGAUGAUCAGUCACACUGGAACUGAGACACGGUCCAGACUCCUACGGGAGGCAGCAGUGGGGAAUAUUGGACAAUGGGCGAAAGCCUGAUCCAGCCAUGCCGCGUGUGUGAAGAAGGUCUUCGGAUUGUAAAGCACUUUAAGUUGGGAGGAAGGGCAGUAAAUUAAUACUUUGCUGUUUUGACGUUACCGACAGAAUAAGCACCGGCUAACUCUGUGCCAGCAGCCGCGGUAAUACAGAGGGUGCAAGCGUUAAUCGGAAUUACUGGGCGUAAAGCGCGCGUAGGUGGUUAGUUAAGUUGGAUGUGAAAUCCCCGGGCUCAACCUGGGAACUGCAUUCAAAACUGACUGACUAGAGUAUGGUAGAGGGUGGUGGAAUUUCCUGUGUAGCGGUGAAAUGCGUAGAUAUAGGAAGGAACACCAG